rnacentral:rRNA from 1 species
GACGAACGCUGGCGGCGUGCUUAACACAUGCAAGUCGAACGGAAAGGCCCUGCUUUUGUGGGGUGCUCGAGUGGCGAACGGGUGAGUAACACGUGAGUAACCUGCCCUUGACUGUGGGAUAACUUCAGGAAACUGGGGCUAAUACCGGAUAUGAGCUCCUGCUGCAUGGUGGGGGUUUGAAAGUUUCGGCGGUUGGGGAUGGACUCGCGGCUUAUCAGCUUGUUGGUGGGGUAGUGGCUUACCAAGGCUUUGACGGGUAGCCGGCCUGAGAGGGUGACCGGCCACAGUGGGACUGAGAUGCGGGCCGGACUGCUACGGGAGGAAGCAGUGGGGAAUAGUGCACGAUGGGCGGAAGCCGGGUGCAGCAACGCCGCGUGCGGGAUGACGGCCGUCGGUUUGUAAACCGCUUUCGCCUGUGACGAAGCGUGAGUGACGGUAAUGGGUAAAGAAGCACCGGCUAACUACGUG